GAGGGCAUGAUGUGUGUGGUUC
rnacentral:siRNA from 1 species